GACGAACGCUGGCGGCGUGCUUAACACAUGCAAGUCGAACGGUGAAGGGAAGCUUGCUCCCCGGAUCAGUGGCGAACGGGUGAGUAACACGUGGGCAACCUGCCCCAGACUUCGGGAUAACGCUUCGAAAGAGGUGCUAAUACCGGAUACGAACUCCUUGGGCAUCCUUGGAGUUGGAAAGUUUUUCGGUCUGGGAUGGGCCCGCGGCCUAUCAGCUUGUUGGUGAGGUAACGGCUCACCAAGGCGACGACGGGUAGCCGGCCUGAGCGGGCGACCGGCCACACUGGGGCUGAGACACGGCCCAGACUCCUACGGGAGGCAGCAGUGGGGAAUAUUGCGCAAUGGGCGAAAGCCUGACGCAGCAACGCCGCGUGAGGGAUGACGGCCUUCGGGUUGUAAACCUCUUUCAGCAGGGAAGAAGCGAAAGUGACGGUACCUGCAGAAGAAGCACCGGCUAACUACGUGCCAGCAGCCGCGGUAAGAC
rnacentral:rRNA from 1 species